rnacentral:piRNA from 1 species
UGACAUUGAAUGGUUUACUGGCUUUCACUGU